rnacentral:rRNA from 1 species
UACGGAAGGCAGCAGUAGGGAAUCUUCCGCAAUGGACGAAAGUCUGACGGAGCAACGCCGCGUGAACGAUGAAGGCUUUCGGGUCGUAAAGUUCUGUUGUUAGGGAAGAACAAGUACCGGAGUAACUGCCGGUACCUUGACGGUACCUAACCAGAAAGCCACGGCUAACUACGUGCCAGCAGCCGCGGUAAUACGUAGGUGGCAAGCGUUGUCCGGAAUUAUUGGGCGUAAAAGCGCGCGCAGGCGGUCCUUUUAAGUCUGAUGUGAAAGCCCACGGCUCAACCGUGGAAGGGUCAUUGGAAACUGGGGGACUUGAGUGCAGAAGAGGAGAGUGGAAUUCCACGUGUAGCGGUGAAAUGCGUAGAGAUGUGGAGGAACACCAGUGGCGAAAGGCGACUCUCUGGUCUGUAAACUGACGCUGAGGCGCGAAAGCGUGGGGAGCGAAACAGGGAUUAGAUACC